UUAAGCGACUAAGCGUACACGGUGGAUGCCCUGGCAGUCAGAGGCGAUGAAGGACGUGCUAAUCUGCGAUAAGCGUCGGUAAGGUGAUAUGAACCGUUAUAACCGGCGAUUUCCGAAUGGGGAAACCCAGUGUGAUUCGUCACACUAUCAUUAACUGAAUCCAUAGGUUAAUGAGGCGAACCGGGGGAACUGAAACAUCUAAGUACCCCGAGGAAAAGAAAUCAACCGAGAUUCCCCCAGUAGCGGCGAGCGAACGGGGAGGAGCCCAGAGCCUGAAUCAGUGUGUGUGUUAGUGGAAGCGUCUGGAAAGGCGCGCGAUACAGGGUGACAGCCCCGUACACAAAAAUGCACAUGCUGUGAGCUCGAUGAGUAGGGCGGGACACGUGGUAUCCUGUCUGAAUAUGGGGGGACCAUCCUCCAAGGCUAAAUACUCCUGACUGACCGAUAGUGAACCAGUACCGUGAGGGAAAGGCGAAAAGAACCCCGGCGAGGGGAGUGAAAAAGAACCUGAAACCGUGUACGUACAAGCAGUGGGAGCACAGAGCAAUCUGUGUGACUGCGUACCUUUUGUAUAAUGGGUCAGCGACUUAUAUUCUGUAGCAAGGUUAACCGAAUAGGGGAGCCGAAGGGAAACCGAGUCUUAACUGGGCGUUAAGUUGCAGGGUAUAGACCCGAAACCCGGUGAUCUAGCCAUGGGCAGGUUGAAGGUUGGGUAACACUAACUGGAGGACCGAACCGACUAAUGUUGAAAAAUUAGCGGAUGACUUGUGGCUGGGGGUGAAAGGCCAAUCAAACCGGGAGAUAGCUGGUUCUCCCCGGAAGCUAUUUAGGUAGCGCCUCGUGAAUUCAUCUCCGGGGGGUAGAGCACUGUUUCGGCAAGGGGGUCAUCCCGACUUACCAACCCGAUGCAAACUGC
rnacentral:rRNA from 1 species